rnacentral:rRNA from 1 species
AUGGCAGGUCAGCAUACUGCCGUGAAUACGUUCCCGGGCCUUGUACACACCGCCCGUCACACCAUGAGAGUUGGGAAUACCCGAAGCCUGUGAGCUAACUGUAAGGAGGCAGCAGUCGAAGGUAGAAUCAAUGAUUGGGGUGAAGUCGUAACAAGGUAAC